CACAAGUUUGACAAGUUUGCUGUAG
rnacentral:piRNA from 1 species